rnacentral:rRNA from 1 species
UCAAGCUAGAAAGAGCGCAAGGGGAAUGCCUUGGCAUCAGGAGCCGACGAAGGACGUGACAAGCUGCGAUAAGCUGCGGUGAGCUGCACAUAAGCUUUGACCCGCAGAUUUCCGAAUGGGGAAACCCGGCAGAGCAAUACUCUGUCAGCGUGCGUUGAAUCAAAUAGGCGUACGCGGGGAACCGCCUGAACUGAAACAUCUAAGUAGGGCGAGGAAGAGAAAUCAACCGAGAUUCCGCUAGUAGUGGCGAGCGAACGCGGAAGAGGGCAAACCGGAGGAUUUAUCCUCCGGGGUUGUGGACAGUUUUUUAGCAACUGGAACUAGGAGAACGGUAUGGGAAGGCCGGCCAUAGCGGGUGAUAGCCCCGUAUCCGAAAGGGAAGGUUGUGCGACUGGAUCCAGAGUACCGCCGGACACGUGAAACCCGGUGGGAAGCUGGGGGGACCACCCUCCAACCCUAAAUACUACCUGAUGACCGAUAGAGGAGCAGUACCGUGAGGGAAAGGUGAAAAGGACCCCGGGAGGGGAGUGAAAGAGAACCUGAAACCUUGUGCUUACAAGCACUCAAAGCCCGUUAAAGGGUGAUGAGGUACCUUUUGUAGAAUGGUCCGGCGAGUUAUUGUUACUGGCAAGCUUAAGGCAUUCAGUGCCGGAGGCGCAGGGAGACCGAGUCUGAAUAGGGCGUAUGAAGUCAGUGGCAAUAGACCCGAAACCGGGUGACCUAUCCAUGGGCAGGUUGAAGUGGGGGUAAAACCCCAUGGAGGACCGAACGCACGCCCGUUGCAAUGGUCGGCGAUGACCUGUGGAUAGCGGUGAAAUUCCAAUCGAACUCGGAGAUAGCUGGUUCUCCCCGAAAUAGCUUUAGGGCUAGCGUUGGCUUAGAUUACCGGAGGUAAAGCACUGAAUGGGCUAGGGGCCGAUAAGGUUACUGAACCCUAUCAAACUCUGAAUGCCGGAUAAUUGAUGGCCAGCAGUCAGUCUACGUGAGAUAAGUCUCGUGGACAAAAGGGAAACAGCCCAGACCCACAGCUAAGGUCCCAAAGAUACGCUAAGUGGAAAACGAUGUGGAGUUGCGAAAACAACCAGGAUGUUGGCUUAGAAGCAGCCACUCAUUAAAAGAGUGCGUAAUAGCUCACUGGUCGAGUGACUCUGCGCGGAAAAUAUAACGGGGCUAAGCGUAACACCGAAGCUUGGGCUGCACAGCAAUGUGCGGGGUAGGGGAGCGUCGAAUAUGGGGUGAAGUCGCAGCGGAAGCAGCGGUGGACUGUAUUCGAGUGAGAAUGCCGGAAUGAGUAGCGAGAAUUAUGUGGGAAUCAUAAUGGCCGAAAAUCUAAGGUUUCCUGGGGAAGGUUCGUCCGCCCAGGGUAAGCCGGGAGCUAAGGCGAGGCCGAAAGGCGUAGUCGAUGCACAUACGGUUGAAAUUCCGUAGCCACCGAACCUUAAGUACACUGACACAUGGAGAUAGCGGGACCCGGGCGUUGGUUGACCCGGGCGUAAGGGACCGAACUAUAGUAGGGAAGUCCGCGAUGCUCUGUGGCGAGAAAAGGUGUAUGGUAUGCUAAGGUGCCCGUACCGCAAACCGACACAGGUAGAUGAGGAGAGAAUCCUAAGGCCAACGGGAGAAGGGUUGUUAAGGAACUCGGCAAAAUGACCCCGUAACUUCGGGAUAAGGGGAGCCUCCUACGGGAGGCCGCAGCGAAUAGGCCCAAGCGACUGUUUACCAAAAACACAGGUCUCUGCUAAAUCGAAAGAUGACGUAUAGGGGCUGACGCCUGCCCGGUGCUGGAAGGUUAAGAGGAGAUGUUAGCCGCAAGGCGAAGCAUUGAAUCGAAGCCCCAGUAAACGGCGGCCGUAACUAUAACGGUCCUAAGGUAGCGAAAUUCCUUGUCAGGUAAGUUCUGACCCG